rnacentral:misc_RNA from 1 species
GAUGAAGAACGUAGCGAAAUGCGAUACUUGGUGUGAAAUGCAGAAUCCCGUGAACCAUCGAGUCUUUGAACGCAAGUUGCGCCCGAAGCCAUUAGGCCGAGGGCACGCCUGCCUGGGCGUCACACGUCGUUGCCCCCCCAUCUACUCCUUCGGGAUUGCGGGGGGCGGAUGAUGGCCUCCCGUGCGCCUCGUCGCGCGGUUGGCAUAAAUGCCAAGUCCUCGGCGACGCACGCCACGACAAUCGGUGGUUGCGAAACCUCGGUUGCCCGUCGUGUGCGGUCGUCGCGCAUCGAGGGCUCGAAAAAAUUGCCGGGCUCCGGCUCGGCUUUCAACGCGACCCCAGGUCAGGCGGGGUUACCCGCUGAAUUUAAGCAUAUCAAUAAGCGGAGGA